rnacentral:rRNA from 1 species
GCUGAACGCUAGCGGCAGGCUUAAUACAUGCAAGUCGAGGGGCAGCAUGAGUGUAGCAAUACAUUUGAUGGCGACCGGCAAACGGGUGCGGAACACGUACAGAACCUUCCUUCAAGCGGGGAAUAGCCCAGAGAAAUUUGGAUUAAUACCCCAUAGUAUAGCGGAGAGGCAUCUCUUUGUUAUUAAAGAUUUAUCACUUGAAGAUGGCUGUGCGCCUGAUUAGGUAGUUGGCGGGGUAACGGCCCACCAAGCCUUCGAUCAGUAACUGGUGUGAGAGCACGACCAGUCACACGGGCACUGAGACACGGGCCCGACUCCUACGGGAGGCAGCAGUAAGGAAUAUUGGUCAAUGGACGAAAGUCUGAACCAGCCAUGCCGCGUGGAGGAUGAAGGUCCUCUGGAUUGUAAACUUCUUUUUAUAUGGGACGAAAAAGGGUUUUCUAACUCGACUGACGGUACCAUAUGAAUAAGCACCGGCUAACUCCGUGCCAGCAGCCGCGGUAAUACGGAGGGUGCAAGCGUUAUCCGGAUUCACUGGGUUUAAAGGGUGCGUAGGUGGAUUGCCAAGUCCGUGGUGAAAUCUCCGAGCUUAACUCGGAAACUGCCGUGGAUACUGGUAGUCUUGAAUAUCGUGGAGGUCAGCGGAAUAUGUCAUGUAGCGGUGAAAUGCUUAGAUAUGACAUAGAACACCAAUUGCGAAGGCAGCUGGCUACGCGAAUAUUGACACUGAGGCACGAAAGCGU